GAUGAACGCUGGCGGCGUGCCUAAUACAUGCAAGUCGAGCGAAUGGAUUAAGAGCUUGCUCUUAUGAAGUUAGCGGCGGACGGGUGAGUAACACGUGGGUAACCUGCCCAUAAGACUGGGAUAACUCCGGGAAACCGGGGCUAAUACCGGAUAACAUUUUGAACCGCAUGGUUCGAAAUUGAAAGGCGGCUUCGGCUGUCACUUAUGGAUGGACCCGCGUCGCACUAGCUAGUUGGUGAGGUAACGGCUCACCAAGGCAACGACGCGUAGCCGACCUGAGAGGGUGAUCGGCCACACUGGGACUGAGACACGGCCCAGACUCCUACGGGAGGCAGCAGUAGGGAAUCUUCCGCAAUGGACGAAAGUCUGACGGAGCAACGCCGCGUGAGUGAUGAAGGCUUUCGGGUCGUAAAACUCUGUUGUUAGGGAAGAACAAGUGCUAGUUGAAUAAGCUGGCACCUUGACGGUACCUAACCAGAAAGCCACGGCUAACUACGUGCCAGCCGCCGCGGUAA
rnacentral:rRNA from 1 species